rnacentral:misc_RNA from 1 species
AGCUUGCACUUUAUUUGAACACAUAUGUCUCUCGUGAAGGACCGCAUCGUGCACUCCCCAUACCCGAAUGUCCAAAUACCGGAAUGCACGUUGUACAACUUCGUCGCAGGAUUCCUGAGGCGGUAUGCGGACAGCACGGCUUUUAUCGAAGGGGAGGAGACCAUGAGCUACGCGCAGCUGCUGAAGCGCCUGCGCCAAUACGCCGAGGGCUUUCACAAGCACGGCGUGAAGCGCGGCGACCGUUUCAUCGUGGCCGUGGAGAACUCGACCGAUGCACUGGUCUCCAUCCUGGCGCUCAUGUUCUCCGGAUGCGUGGCCUGCUUCGCCAGCGGGCCCAGGACGGCAAGUGAGCUAGUUUACCAUGUCAAAGACGCCGAAGCAUCGUUCUGCCUCACAGAUAACGCCAACCUGGCGUUCAUCACUGGCGAACAGUCUGAUUCUCUUUUCAAGAGGAUAUUCGUGAUGCGAGACACGCCGGGCUUUGUGUCAGUGACGUCUUUCCGCGGACUCCCCGAGAUGGCGCUCGAGGAACUCCAGGAAGAGGACACGAGGAAGGCACUGUGCGCUAUCGCCUACACUUCGGGCACCACGGGCGAGGCCAAGGGAGUGAUGCUGUCGCAGUACAGCUUUGUCUGUGCCAUCGAAAGUAUCAGGGCAACGAAGUCCUCUGGCAGUAAAAGCGUACUGCUCAUAUUAUGGAACUUAUACUCUGUAUGUGCAAUUCGUGCCUUCAUGAGCGCACUGUGCGCGGGAUCGACAGCAGUGAUCAUGAAUCCAAAGCUCGGGAGUGCGAAGGUUAUUGAGGCAAUCAAGAAGCAUAAGGUGACGACGUUGUGCGCGACGUCCACGCCUUUACAGCUACUGCUGCGCGAAGCGCUGAACGCGGGCGAGACGCUGAAGAGCGUCAAUUAUGUCGGCAGCAUCGGCGGCACGCUGCCCAAUUCAGCGGUGGAGAAUAUGCGGCGCGUGUUCGACCUGCGAAAUCUUGGCCACUCUUACGGGCUCACGGAGGCCGCUGGCGUGGUGACAUCGCCUCCCCACCGUGACACGACUGUGUCCUUCCUCGGCUACGCCCAAGCCGGGGUGCUUAUCAAGGUUGUUGAUGUCGACACGAGGGAGCCUCUCCCAGCUGGAAAAUGGGGUGAAAUUUGUGUUAAGAUUCCUAGUGUCAUGAUGGGCUACUUGAACAAACCGGAAGCAACAAAGCAGGUCCUCGACUCUGAAGGAUGGCUUUUGACCGGUGACUGCGGCUACUACGACGAGGAGGGCUGCAUGUACUACGUCGACCGGCUCAAGGACACGAUCAAGUUCCGCGGCUCUCAUGUGCCAAGUGUUGAGCUGGAGCAUCUGAUCGGCUCGAUGGCCGAAGUGAGCGAGGUGGCUGUGGUGGGAGUGCCCUCUGUUGAGUACCAGGAGGCCACGACAGCUUUCGUCGUGCCCGAGCCGCCCGCCACCGGCAGCGUUGAUCUCGCCCUGAAGAUCAAAGAGCACGUGGCUGAUGCCUCUCGUGAAAGACCGCAUCGUUCACUCUCCCUUCCCGGACGUCGACAUUCCGGAGUGCACGUUGUACAACUUCAUCGCAACAUUCCUAAAGCGAUAUGCGGACAAGAUUGCCUUUGUGGAAGGGGAUGAGAGCAUGAGCUACGCGUUCCUGCAGACGCGCCUGCGCCAAUACGCCAUGGGCUUCCACAAGCACGGCGUGAGGCGGGGUGACCGUUUCAUCGUAGCCGUGGACAACACGACCGACGCGCUGAUCUCCAUCCUGGCACUCAUGUUCUCGGGAUGCGUAGCCUGCUUCGCCAGCGGGCCCAGAACGUCACAUGAGUUGGUUUAUCAAGUCAAAGACGCCGAGGCCUCAUUCUGCCUCACGGACAGCGACAACUUGGCCUAUAUCCUCGACGAACAGCAUCGGUGCCGUUUCAAGAUGAUAUUCGUGAUGCGGGACACGCC